AUACUUACCUGGCAGGGGAGAUAGCAUGAUAGUGAAGGUGGUUUUCCCAGGGGAAGACUUAUCCAAUACACUCCAAAUGUGCUGACCCCUGUGUUUUCCACAGACGUGGGAAACUCAACUACAAAAUUUAUGGCAGUAGGGGGCUUCAUUCACAUUUUUCCAUG